CAGAUGCAGGUCGGUACAUCCAGAUGCAGGUCGGGGUGAACAGAAGAAGAUCCUGAGGUAGGACGCAGGUGCGGCGCCCACGCGCCCAAGACGGCCCGCGGCGCACGCCGUACACAAGGAUGGAUUCAUUGAGAUGUACAGGACCAAGACGGAGGUCAGCGAGAUGCCACGUCCAAAGCACGACGUCAAGCAAUGUAUGCAUAACAAGAGUACGGGUCCCUGGACAUCAAGGACAGCGGCCGGCCACGCGCUC
rnacentral:lncRNA from 1 species